CCGUACUUGUGUUGACAUGUGCUUGUAACUCGUCCGUAAGAAUGUGUUCACGAAAUGUGUGUUGUUGUGUAAGUCAUUCAGUGUAUUGAAGCCAUACUAAGCGGACAUGGUUUUAGACUCUGUUAUCAUUCUGUUCACAACAUAGGUAGUACACAACACAUACUUCAAUGGUCGAGAUGUUUCGUAGUGUCAAAUAGUGCAUGUAUAUGUUUUUGUUAUCGAUACUUUGUAGACAUCAUAGAUACAGUCAAACUAGUUCAAAUAACUACAUGAAAUUUUCAGAUGUUUCUUCAGUAUUAAAGAUUAUUACAUCCUAAGCCAAACCUGUCUCAGGAUAAAGGAGAAUUGCGGCAGAUGUUUGUUUUUUCAUUUCUUUUGUAUAGUGCAUCUUUCAUGCUAUAUGAUACAAUACGCAUUGUCACAGCCUCAUUAGAGACUCAUUGUGACAUGAUCUGACUUUUAGUCAAGUAAUAAAAAGCAUGCUUGUGGCACAAAGAAAAACCCAAACCAGAAUCUACGACAUUUGCAUCAUUAGAAUUGCUACAUGUAUUUAAGGCCAGUACUUCUUUACUUCAGCUAUCUGUUACACGCAUGCUCAGUGUGCUUGGUCCAAUCUCUUUAGUGGACAUGUGUGGGAGUGGGUAUCUGGGAAAAGGCUUCAUGCUGCUUUAAGAUGGUCAGCAAACACAACUCAGUUGAGUCAGGUUUUGAACACAAACCUCCAAGCUGUUUACACUACUCAAUCACAUUCCACAGAAAAAAAAUAUUCCAAUUCCAAUCUAUAGCCAAA